rnacentral:rRNA from 1 species
AGACAGAGGGUGCAAACGUUGUUCGGAAUUACUGGGCGUAAAGCGCGUGCAGGCGGCUUCGUAAGUCAGGUGUGAAAGCCCUCGGCUCAACCGGGGAAGUGCACUUGAAACUACGAGGCUAGAGUCCCGGAGAGGAUGGUGGAAUUCUCGGUGUAGAGGUGAAAUUCGUAGAUAUCGAGAGGAACACCGGUGGCGAAGGCGGCCAUCUGGUCGGUGACUGACGCUGAGACGCGAAAGCGUGGGGAGCAAACAGGAUUAGAUACCCUGGUAGUCCACGCCGUAAACUAUGGGUGCUAGGUGUCGCGGGCUUUGACCCCUGCGGUGCCGUAGCCAACGCAUUAAGCACCCCGCCUGGGGAGUACGGCCGCAAGGCUAAA